UGCCCCAAGCCCAGCGCACUGCGGUCCGCCCCGCCGCACCGCCUGAUGAGUGUUUUGCAGGCGUAGGGCGGGAAGCGCCAGCGGUGCGGGAAGGCGAGGGUCAUUCCCAGUACCCGCCCCCCGUGCUGCAUUCUGCGCAAGUAGGAAACGGCGGAAGAGGUCUGAGUCCUGUGCUGUUCAGCAGGGAAGCAUGGUCUCCGCUCAGCUGUCCGUGCACAAUGGACUCAGUACCUGCCGCCGUGCCUUCUGUCGCCGCUUCUCCCGGGACCCCGAGCUUCUGGGACCCCGGGCUUCUGGGACCCCUAACGGUACUCUACGCAGCCCUCGUAGGGAGGGACCCCGCUGUGGCCGGCGGGUGGCUGAGUGGUGAGCGGAAUGGCUGCACUGACUGAAGGCGACGGGGAAUUGGAGCGUGUCAGGCCCGGGCAGCCAGCACCGAGCUGUAUUGCUAAGCGAGCCGCUAGUUGCCACAUUGCCCAAUGGUGUUCAGCCUGGACCUGAUUUUUAUGGACUGCCGGGGAAGCCUGUACUUCUCACUGUCUUCUUGGGAAUUGUUUCAUUUGCCAUUUUCUUCUGGAGAACUAUUCUUGUUGUCAAAGAAACAAUAUAUCAAGGUAAAUUUUUAGCCUUCUUCUGUAACUUUUAGUAACCCUUUGUAUUUGUGUUUGAUGUGUGUUUUAUAUAUGUUAGAAGUAGAUAGUAAUUGUUGAUGUGUCUUAUUUUUCUAACUCCUAAAAAUUUUACUA